rnacentral:rRNA from 1 species
GACGAACGCUGGCGGCGUGCUUAACACAUGCAAGUCGAACGGAAAGGCCCUGCUUUUGUUGGUUGCUCGAUUGGCGAACGGGGGAGUGACACGUGUGUAACCUGUCCUUGUCUUUGGGAUAACUUCUGGGAACUGGGGCGAAUACCGGAUAGGAUCUCCUGCUGCAUGGGGGUGGUUGGAAAGUUUCGGCGGUUGGGGCUGUUCUCGCUGGUUAUCAGCUUGUUGGUGGGGUAGUGGCUUACCAAGGCUUUGACGGGUAGCCUGCCUGAGCGGGUGACCGGCCACACUGGGACUGAGGUACGGCACAGACUCCUACGGGAGGCAGCAGUGGGGAAUCUUGCACAAUGGGCGGAAGCCUGAUGCAGCAACGCCGCGUGCGGGAUAACGGCCUUCGGGUUGUAAACCGAUUGCGCAUGUGACGAAGCGCGAGUGAAGGUAAUGGGUACAGAAGCCCCGGCUAAAUACGUG